UGUCUUAAUCCACUUAACUGUAUAGAUAUAUUUCAUGCCAGCCCAUUGGGAUACAAUUUCCUAAACUUUAAAGCAAGUUGUGAUCAUGCAGUACUCCACCAAGCAGAGUCACAACCAUCCAUUGCUUUUCUCUUUGCAGAUGACAGAGCGCACACCUGUUUGAAGGAGGUCCUGACUGAUCUUCCUCUGAUUUUGGGCCUGGCAGCUCCUGCCCGUGUGUGCCGUGAAGCAGUGAAGAAGGGCCCUUGCCCCAAGGACCACGCCUCAGCUAAGAGACCAGAGAGAAUGGGUGGGUGCCAGGAACA
rnacentral:lncRNA from 1 species